UUAAGCGACUAAGCGUACACGGUGGAUGCCCUGGCAGUCAGAGGCGAUGAAGGACGUGCUAAUCUGCGAUAAGCGUCGGUAAGGUGAUAUGAACCGUUAUAACCGGCGAUUUCCGAAUGGGGAAACCCAGUGUGUUUCGACACACUAUCAUUAACUGAAUCCAUAGGUUAAUGAGGCGAACCGGGGGAACUGAAACAUCUAAGUACCCCGAGGAAAAGAAAUCAACCGAGAUUCCCCCAGUAGCGGCGAGCGAACGGGGAGCAGCCCAGAGCCUGAAUCAGUGUGUGUGUUAGUGGAAGCGUCUGGAAAGGCGCGCGAUACAGGGUGACAGCCCCGUACACAAAAAUGCACAUGCUGUGAGCUCGAUGAGUAGGGCGGGACACGUGGUAUCCUGUCUGAAUAUGGGGGGACCAUCCUCCAAGGCUAAAUACUCCUGACUGACCGAUAGUGAACCAGUACCGUGAGGGAAAGGCGAAAAGAACCCCGGCGAGGGGAGUGAAAAAGAACCUGAAACCGUGUACGUACAAGCAGUGGGAGCACGCUUCGGCGUGUGACUGCGUACCUUUUGUAUAAUGGGUCAGCGACUUAUAUUCUGUAGCAAGGUUAACCGAAUAGGGGAGCCGAAGGGAAACCGAGUCUUAACUGGGCGUUAAGUUGCAGGGUAUAGACCCGAAACCCGGUGAUCUAGCCAUGGGCAGGUUGAAGGUUGGGUAACACUAACUGGAGGACCGAACCGACUAAUGUUGAAAAAUUAGCGGAUGACUUGUGGCUGGGGGUGAAAGGCCAAUCAAACCGGGAGAUAGCUGGUUCUCCCCGAAAGCUAUUUAGGUAGCGCCUCGUGAAUUCAUCUCCGGGGGUAGAGCACUGUUUCGGCAAGGGGGUCAUCCCGACUUACCAACCCGAUGCAAACUGCGAAUACCGGAGAAUGUUAUCACGGGAGACACACGGCGGGUGCUAACGUCCGUCGUGAAGAGGGAAACAACCCAGACCGCCAGCUAAGGUCCCAAAGUCAUGGUUAAGUGGGAAACGAUGUGGGAAGGCCCAGACAGCCAGGAUGUUGGCUUAGAAGCAGCCAUCAUUUAAAGAAAGCGUAAUAGCUCACUGGUCGAGUCGGCCUGCGCGGAAGAUGUAACGGGGCUAAACCAUGCACCGAAGCUGCGGCAGCGACGCUUAUGCGUUGUUGGGUAGGGGAGCGUUCUGUAAGCCUGUGAAGGUGUGCUGUGAGGCAUGCUGGAGGUAUCAGAAGUGCGAAUGCUGACAUAAGUAACGAUAAAGCGGGUGAAAAGCCCGCUCGCCGGAAGACCAAGGGUUCCUGUCCAACGUUAAUCGGGGCAGGGUGAGUCGACCCCUAAGGCGAGGCCGAAAGGCGUAGUCGAUGGGAAACAGGUUAAUAUUCCUGUACUUGGUGUUACUGCGAAGGGGGGACGGAGAAGGCUAUGUUGGCCGGGCGACGGUUGUCCCGGUUUAAGCGUGUAGGCUGGUUUUCCAGGCAAAUCCGGAAAAUCAAGGCUGAGGCGUGAUGACGAGGCACUACGGUGCUGAAGCAACAAAUGCCCUGCUUCCAGGAAAAGCCUCUAAGCAUCAGGUAACAUCAAAUCGUACCCCAAACCGACACAGGUGGUCAGGUAGAGAAUACCAAGGCGCUUGAGAGAACUCGGGUGAAGGAACUAGGCAAAAUGGUGCCGUAACUUCGGGAGAAGGCACGCUGAUAUGUAGGUGAAGCGACUUGCUCGUGGAGCUGAAAUCAGUCGAAGAUACCAGCUGGCUGCAACUGUUUAUUAAAAACACAGCACUGUGCAAACACGAAAGUGGACGUAUACGGUGUGACGCCUGCCCGGUGCCGGAAGGUUAAUUGAUGGGGUUAGCGGUAACGCGAAGCUCUUGAUCGAAGCCCCGGUAAACGGCGGCCGUAACUAUAACGGUCCUAAGGUAGCGAAAUUCCUUGUCGGGUAAGUUCCGACCUGCACGAAUGGCGUAAUGAUGGCCAGGCUGUCUCCACCCGAGACUCAGUGAAAUUGAACUCGCUGUGAAGAUGCAGUGUACCCGCGGCAAGACGGAAAGACCCCGUGAACCUUUACUAUAGCUUGACACUGAACAUUGAGCCUUGAUGUGUAGGAUAGGUGGGAGGCUUUGAAGUGUGGACGCCAGUCUGCAUGGAGCCGACCUUGAAAUACCACCCUUUAAUGUUUGAUGUUCUAACGUGGACCCGUGAUCCGGGUUGCGGACAGUGUCUGGUGGGUAGUUUGACUGGGGCGGUCUCCUCCUAAAGAGUAACGGAGGAGCACGAAGGUUGGCUAAUCCUGGUCGGACAUCAGGAGGUUAGUGCAAUGGCAUAAGCCAGCUUGACUGCGAGCGUGACGGCGCGAGCAGGUGCGAAAGCAGGUCAUAGUGAUCCGGUGGUUCUGAAUGGAAGGGCCAUCGCUCAACGGAUAAAAGGUACUCCGGGGAUAACAGGCUGAUACCGCCCAAGAGUUCAUAUCGACGGCGGUGUUUGGCACCUCGAUGUCGGCUCAUCACAUCCUGGGGCUGAAGUAGGUCCCAAGGGUAUGGCUGUUCGCCAUUUAAAGUGGUACGCGAGCUGGGUUUAGAACGUCGUGAGACAGUUCGGUCCCUAUCUGCCGUGGGCGCUGGAGAACUGAGGGGGGCUGCUCCUAGUACGAGAGGACCGGAGUGGACGCAUCACUGGUGUUCGGGUUGUCAUGCCAAUGGCACUGCCCGGUAGCUAAAUGCGGAAGAGAUAAGUGCUGAAAGCAUCUAAGCACGAAACUUGCCCCGAGAUGAGUUCUCCCUGACUCCUUGAGAGUCCUGAAGGAACGUUGAAGACGACGACGUUGAUAGGCCGGGUGUGUAAGCGCAGCGAUGCGUUGAGCUAACCGGUACUAAUGAACCGUGAGGCUUAACCUU
rnacentral:rRNA from 1 species